CUGAGACUUGGGGUUCGAGCCCCAGUACUGCCAAAUAAAUAAAUAGACUUUAAAAAGCUAGAAAACGAACAAAGUCAGCGGCUAGUAAAAAUGUGAAAGUAGGACUAAAACUUUAUUCAUAACUAUAAAAAUAUAAAUUAAAAACAAGAUACCGUUUCUCCCCUAAAAGGACAGUAAUGAAGUUCAUUCUUCUGCAUUAGUUUUUGGAGGGGAUAACAUUUUUGUUAGCUGUUUAUAUGAUGCUUUGUUUUGAACGAGGCUCCAGGCUGAUCUCAAACUCCCAGCCAUCCUCCUGCCUAAGCCUCCCAGAGGCUUAAACUACCAAGUCCAACUCUGAUACAUGUUCUCUGCUGGUUCUCUGGGUGAGGGGCACAGAAGACCUGGCACGGUGGUGGGGAGCAUCCUUUUUUUUUUUUUCUUUUUCUUUUUUCUUUUUUUCGGAGCUGAGGACCGAACCCAGGGCCUUGCGCUUGCUAGGCAAGCGCUCUACCACUGAGCUAAAUCCCCAGCCCCAGGGAGCAUCCUUCUUAACUCAGCACAAUCUGCUGUUUACCAAGCUGCUGCGUGCGUUACUUGGAGUUUACCUAUGUUUGGUUGCCGGAAAGUUUCUCUGUGAAGAAAGAGAUGCACAAGGGCAACUUGUGUCGGGAAACGGGACACCUCGACUCUUCUGGCACCUGAUUAAAUCACUCAGGUUUAAUAGAGUGGGAGCCAUUUCCACAAGCCAGGAAGUUAUGGACCGAUAAGAGCUUUGCAGCUUCUCGGAUGGCCACAGGCGUCGUGUGGACAUGGGAACAUAGCUGGAAUACACUGUUAGAGGCCAUGAAGGGCGGGAAAGCCGGGGAUGGUGACACGCAAAAUGCCUUUAAUCUUAGCACUUGGGAGGUAGAGGCAGGCGCAUCCCUAGGAUUUCCAGGUAGCCAGGGUGACACGGUAAGACCUUGUUAAAAAGAAUUGUUAAAAAACUAAGGAGCCAUAGGACAUUAUCUAUAGGGUGAAAAGGCUUUUUAAAGGAACAAAUGUUAGUGAGUUGGGUUUCCUGUUUAAUCUCCCAGCCGAGUCACACAGUAGCCCCUCUAGAGGUGAGGCUUGCAACAGUUUUCAUCCCUGACUCCCUACAAGUUUCCCCGCUAGAGCUGAUUAAUGUGGUUAAUAGUCCAGGCUAGUCUCCACUCCUCAUGUAGCCGUGGAUGGCGUUCAACUCCAGACCCUCCUGUCUCCACCUGUGCAGUGUUAGGACGAUAGGCCUGUGCCAGCAUUCCCGCUGUAUAAAGUGCUGGGAUCCAAUCCAGGGCUUCCUAGAUGGGUUAGCUGAGCUCCAGGUCUUGCAAAAGUUUUUAAAAACCCUCCGUUCCCCUGCCAACUGCAGGCAGCUUGAACCGUUGAAGACAGUUAGAUUGUAUCUAGGUUAACCCUGAGGCGGUCAGAGGGAGGGGCUGUUGAAAGUGGCAAGCAAUAGCCACUGAGGGACAACUUUAGAAAGAACUUCACUGUGUAAAAAGAAAGGUAAAACCAAAGCUAGGUUUCUCCUCUUCUUUUCUUCCUCCUCCUCCUCUUCCUCUUCUCCUCCUCCUCUUCUUCCUCUUCCUCCUCUUCCUCCUCCUCUUUUCCUCCUUCUCUUCCUCCUCUUUUCCUCCUUCUCCUCCUCCUUUUCUUCCUCUUCCUCCUCUUCUUUUCUUCCUCUUCCUUCUCCUCCUCCUCUUCCUCCUCCUCCUCUUCUUCUUCUUCUUCUUUUCUUUCUUCUAGUAGCAAGUCCAGCUGAGCUGAGAUGACUGCUUUCCUCGAGGGGAGAAAUUUAUUGACAGACUCCUUUCUGAGCCAGGGUCAGUCUGGCUGUAACUGGCACCGUAUAUUAGUGCACUGGUGAACAGGGGCAGCCUUGCACACUGUAAGAGGCUUCGGGUACCCAUGCCCCCCAAGACUGUGGAUUUGGGGUUACAAGGCAUUGGAGAAUCAGAGUUGCAGAUGAAAGGGGGGAACUGCGGGUGUAGCUUACUGGGAGAGCGUUUGCCUAGCAUGCACGAAGCCCUGGGUUCAAUCCCCAGCACCGAGUAAGCCAGGCGUGGCAGUGUAGAACUGUCAGGGAGAUGAGAAAUUCAAAGUCAACUUAGUCAGCAUAGUGACCAAUCUGAAUAGUGGGGAAGGGGGAGGCAGGCCUGCUGAAGCAAGGCAACCAGGCCCUCAAGGCCCAUGAAGGGGCCAGAAGCCAAGGGCAAAAGGAAGACUGGAAAAGCCAAGGAGACGGUGUCCAUGUAAGUCACUAAAACGUUCAUUUCUCUACACUCUGCUUUCUUCAGCCACAUCCUCCUAAGACAUCAGCCAGGGCUGCACACUUGUGUGGGAGGGGGCGGAUCUGCACCGCUCACUGGCCUGGUGGAGGAGGGAGCAGAAAUCUUAGAGCUCUUUAGAAAAGCCAGCAAGCCAAGGAAAACCAAACACCCUUUAUGAUGAAUGAAAAAAACUAUGCUGGAGGAACCAUGUUGGCAUGUUGUUAGUAAAUGAAUAUCAGUAUUAACUGUCAAUACACCCUAGGAUCAAUAGAGAGAGAGAGAGAGAGAGAGAGAGAGAGAGAGAGAGAGAGAGAGAGAGAGAGAGAGAGAGACAGACAGAGAUUCAGUCGGUCGAGUAAUAGUCUUUUAUCAGGUUGGUCUGUGAAUAUGUCUGUGAGGAAGUAGCUUGUCUUAACUGAUGUAGGAGGGCCCCAGUCAGCAAGCCAGCGAGCAGUGUCCCUUCAUGGUUCGUGCUUUAGGCUGCUGCCUGGAAUUCCUGCCCUGCCCUCCUUCCGUCGUCGUAGGCUGACAAACCCUUUCUUCCCCAGGUUGCUUUCAGUUGACGUGCUUUAUCAAAGCAACAGAAAGAAGUUAGGACAGAAGCCCUUUGAUGACUCACACCCUGCGAAACAGGUGCUAGGUGGCACUAUUUAUGCCUGUCAGACUACGGAGCCCCAGAAACCCCAGAAUAUCAGCCCACUUAAUAUCCACAAACAGGAAUAAGGCAGAGAGGCCAAACAGAAGUUCAGAUAAGGUUGGGUUGCUGCUGAGUGGAAAUGUGGGAUCUCAUGAUGGAGAAUUAGUGCUGUGACCUCUUACCAAGUGCACGCUCACAUUCCUAGGCAGGCAUGAAUGGGUUUGGCCUCAAAGUGCCCGACAAUCUCCGCACACAAGAGAGGAGAAAGACACCACCAUGCUAAUCCCUCACCUAGAAACAACUUAAAGAGACACUUCUCCACCCAAAUGCAUGUCAGGAGAGAGAGGUAAUUAACACUUCCUUCCUACAUCUUCGGAUAUGCAAUUAUUUUGCUGUCCGCCCCGAAUGCCCUAUAAAGAUGACAAGCGACUUUGUAACACCUUGAAGGGUCCAAAUUAUAUCAAACAGGCUCUGUCCUUUCUACUGUUACCACAUAAGUCACCUUAAACUUGAUAUGUGUCCCAUUCUGGCCCCGAACUCCUGAUCCUCCUGUCGGGUUUAUACAAAGAUAUACACCACCAUUCCAGGCUGUCACAUAGGGCCUUAUGCCCCAUGGGUUGACUGCUUCUUUAAGGAACCAUGCUCUCAAAGAUUAUGAAACGAAGGGCGUUGUGAGGGCUGGUGAGGACUCGGGGGCUAGCUCAGGGGAUAAAGGGCUUGCAGCAAAAGAGUGAAGACCGGCGUUUGAAUCUCCAGCAGCCACAGAAAUGUCGGGCAGCUAUGCAGCCACAUGCAAUUCUAGCCCUUGGAAGGUGGGAAAAGUGGCUGUCCAGAUCAGUGAACUCUGGGUUCAACUGAGAGCCUGCCUCAAUAUAUAAGGUAAAUUGGCCAAGGAGGACCCCAGAUGCCAGUCUAUGGCCCUGCACACAUACAUGGCUGCACGUACACAUACAUGUACCUGCACACAUGCGAACACACACACAGCUGCUGUGAGGCAGGGACUUGAGUUUAUGUAACCUCUGCCAUAUUUGCUCAGAGCCCAUGAGAACAACUUCCCUUCACUCCUACAGGAUACUAAUAACCCUCAUUCACCAGCCCUCAUAGAAUAAUGUCCCCUAUGGGCAGGCAUGUCCCCACAGUGUCCCCACAGGCAGACAGAAUAGCCCCUUCACAUAUUUCCGUCUUUCCUCACACAGCAGUGUGUGAAACUGAUUGUCCUAAGAAAGCUAUACAUCCCCCAAAGGCCUCAUUCUGUCUGGAUUACAGUGUAGUUCUUCUAAAGCCAAGCAAGAGGCUGGUCCUGCGUAUUGGGAUGCACGCCCAAUUGGAAGGCAGGUAUCUGUGAAAGCAGGUAUCUGGAAUCCAAAACACCCUUCCCAAACAUAAGGUCAUUCCUGUGUUUACCUAUUUCCGGGGUGAAACAGCUUUAUAAUAACAAGUCGAGAUUCCAACUGUGAUAGAAGCUGGCGCUUUCCUUCCACCAUGGGGACUCCAGGGAUCAAGCGUAGGUCGUCGGGCUUGAUGGUGAGUGCUCUUGCCUGCAGGGUCAUCUUCCUGGCCAAAUUUGGUAUUACCCCUUCUCCCACCCCGUGUGUGUGUGUGUGUGUGUGUGUGUGUGUGUGUGUGUAGAGGCUUGUCUCAGUUGUCGUUCCUCAAGAGCCAUCUACCCGAUUGAAGCAGAGUCUUACUCUGGAACACUUCAAAGAGGCUGGGGUGACCUACUAGUAAGCCCCAGGCAUCCACUUGUCUUCCCCUCUCCAGCUUUGGGGUAACCACCCCCCCCCAUACACACCUGUCUCUUUUACAUGGGUUCUGGGGACCAAACUCAGAUCUUCAUGUUCAUGUGACCAACAAUUUACUAUCUGAGCUGUUUCCUCAGCUGAGAUUUACUCGUUUUAAAAUAACGACAGAAAGCAAAUGUGUGCACCUUUCCCGUUCUGUGGGAGGAAGGCGGCUCUGCUGAGGAGGCAGGGAGAGACCUGGGGCUUCAUGACGAGGCCCUGCAUGGCCGUCAGGGCCCGAGUGACACAGUUCCAUUUCCAUCCAUGUUGAGGAAUUCCUUUUCCUUCGGGUAGCUGACUUCUGCAUCUUGCCCGUAUCAGGGACGAGGCUUUUCGUUAGGCCUUUGAGAGCCAAUAAAGAGGAAGAAAUGCAGAGGUCGGAGCAGGGGAGGGACGGCUUAGUUGGUAAAGUGCUGACUCUGCAACCCUGAGGACUGAGUAAAAGUCCCAGAACCCAUGUUUAAAUUAAAAAUAAAGUCAGGCAUUGAGGUGUGGAUUUGCAAUCCUAGAGCUGGGGAGGCAGAGACAGGUGGACCCCUGGGGCUCCCUGGAGGGCCAGCCUUGGCUACAAGGCGAGAUCAAGGCUAACGAGAGAUGCUGUCUCAAAAAAGCAAGGUGAACAUCACCCGAAGAAUGACUCCUGAGGCUGUCUUCUGACCUCCACACACACAGAUGCUCAAAUAUAUAUGAGCACCCAUGUGCAGACACACAGAAAGGAUGGUGGGCAAACGGCACAGAAGCUGUGAAUGGUGAGAAACUGAAGAAAGGACCCAGGGGUGAGGGGCUGGCGUGAAUACACAUCAGAGAAGGGAGGAGCCCACCUCAGCUCUGGCUAUACUACCUGCAGAGAAGAUAUGGUCCUGAAAGGAUGGGGGAUAGGAUUGGCAAUGAUGAGAGGAUGUGCAAAUUCUAAAAAGGAGGCCAUGCUGGGGUGACCAAAACGGCACAGCCAGAGAAAGCACUAACUGCCAAGUCUGACAGCCUGAGUUCAAUCCCAGAGAUCCAUGCGGUGGAAGGAGAGAGCAGAGUUCUGCACCUUGUUCUCUGACCCCCAUACACAACCUGCGGCACACACCACUGACGUGUGCACACACACAAUCGCUACACGGUAUUAAAGAGAAGUGACUAUUCUGUUCCUAUUUCCACAUGCUGUGAGCAACACGUGCUAGAACGCAGAAGAGAACCCAGUUCACCCUCACAAUUUCACACACAGGUGCACAUAUGCAUGCACACACACAUACCACACACACACACACACAUACACACAUAAACCACACAGAUACACACACACAUACCACACACAGACACAUUACAUACACAUACCACACACAGACACACAUACACACACAUACCACACACACACACACCACAUACACACACACACAUACACAUGUGCACACCCUCUGCUUCCUGCCUAUGUGCUCCCAGCUAUCUCAGUGCCACAAACCCCGACAUUUAUAAUUGUGAUUUAGUACUCAGAGAAGGGCUGCAAUGCUACAGAACUCAAUUCAAACUGCAAAGCGGGGAUGCAGGCCCGCAUUGAUUGAAUCAGACAAAGCCUGCAGUUCAGACGGAAAAACACUUGGCUCCUUUCUCCUGUAAUGUUCUUUCCCCGAGAUCAUAAAUUGCCGAGUGCUGACUUUCCAUCUUUGAAAAGUGAACGUGACAAGAGCCAGCCUAUAUAUCACUUGGGGAAUACUUAUUCAUCACGGACACACAGAAACGUGAGUUACUCAGCUGGUGGGAGGCUCCUCUCAGCUGCCACGACCCGAUAGGUCUAGGCCAGCAAGGGUGAGGAGAAAGUGGCGAGGUUGGGGGCCGUACGGAGAGGGUUAGAGUAAGGACACCGAAGAGUAGGAAAUGUUGCCUACCACAUCGCUACAAACUCUUCAGAGCUUCCCUUCUUGUUCACAGCUGUGUUCCAGGCCACAGGACUGAGGUGGAGACAAAGGGGAGAGCGGAGAAAGGGGGAGACACCAUACACAACAGUGGGCAACUGAAAAGCCCUUGUCAUUCACCAGCCUUAGAGCGCUUACUCCUCUGGGGACAGCAGCCAGGGGGGCAGAAAUUGUUCUCCUCAGUGCCUGGCUUUUCCUGAGGCAACGGCUCACAAUGGACAAAAUCCAAGGUGUUCCCAGCACUCUGAUGGGUGCUUACGUCACAAAGCCACACUGUCCCAAGGGGUAGGGGGCACAGAGAGGUGACACGGCGAACACUCCCCAAAGAUACUCUUGACCCAGCACUAAACUCCAUCAAGUCCCCCAGAUACAUGCUGCCAGCCACGGAGCGAUUUAGAACCCACCAUCAUGCUCCGUUCCUCUGGUUAAAGCAAUGCCUGGCCAAGAGGGCAGACACCAUCUCGGCACACAGAAAGGAAGGAAGGAAGAAGUGAGAGCAGAGAGGAAGGUGAAGCAUGAACGGAGAGCAGUCUCCUAAAGCAAUAGCGGGGAGCGCAGCCACGUCCAUAGGCCUCCUGAGUAGCCAGGAUUAUGGGCCUACAGACUGGCAUUGAGGAUGCUUUCAAAGGUUGACUAUAUAUGGACUUUGAAGUGAAGCUCGGAGCCAGAGUACUCAGGGGACCUGAAGCUUACCAAGUUCAGCUUGGCCGACUGAAUGAGCACCAGGAAUCCACCUGCCUCCGCCUCCUCCGGGCUGGUAUUACAGAUACACACCACAGCACCCACCCGGCUCUUUGUGUGCGUGUCUGGCUCAGACCCCGGCCCUCACGCCACACUGGCAAGCACUUUACCAGAGUCACCUCCGAACAGUUCUACCGACGCCAGAUAGUGACAGCGACUUUUGACCUGCAAAAAUAAUUUAUACUACUUCACAGUAAAGACCGAGUCACGUGAUCAGA